AUUGAACGCUGGCGGCAUGCCUUACACAUGCAAGUCGAACGGCAGCACGGGUGCUUGCACCUGGUGGCGAGUGGCGAACGGGUGAGUAAUACAUCGGAACGUACCUUAUCGUGGGGGAUAACGCAGCGAAAGCUGUGCUAAUACCGCAUACGCCCUGAGGGGGAAAGCGGGGGAUCGCAAGACCUCGCGCGAUUAGAGCGGCCGAUGACUGAUUAGCUUGGUGGUGGGGUAAAAGCCCACGAAGGCGACGAUAAGUAGCUGGUCUGAGAGGACGAUCAGCCACACUGGGACUGAGACACGGCCCAGACUCCUACGGGAGGCAGCAGUGGGGAAUUUUGGACAAUGGGGGCAACCCUGAUCCAGCAAUGCCGCGUGAGUGAAGAAGGCCUUCGGGUUGUAAAGCUCCUUUGUCAGGGAAGAAACACCGGCUCUAACACAGUCUGGGAAUGACGGUACCUGAAGAAUAAGCACCGGCUAACUACGUGCCAGCAGCCGCGGUAA
rnacentral:rRNA from 1 species